rnacentral:ncRNA from 2 species
UAGCAAAAUAAAAAUCUAUAUAUUGCCGUAAUGUGGUCGGCAGUUUCUACUCAGAACCGUAAAUUCUGAACUAUGGAUAAUGUAGCAU